UGUUCAUGAUAUAACUUCUACCAGCCUAUUCUAAAGUGUAUAUUUCUAGAUUUAAAGGAACAAAAAUAGAAAGCUAAUUCCUAUCUUGUAUUAUCAAAUACAAUAUCAGCCCAAGACAUCUAGGACAAAUAGAAAUUAAGAUAAGAAUGGCUGGUAGGGUCACGUUUCUCCUUUUGUAUUUCUCCCUGUUCAAACAGAGAAAUGCAACCAACUACCAACUAUGGGGAGGGAAGUGGGAGAGGAGAGGAACCCAUGUACCCCGCUUCAAUCAAGCAGUCUGCAGUCACCCACUUGGCUUCUGUCAUCCCCAAGAUUGAACCUGGAGACAAAUCCAGCUAUUGCCUCCUCCUUGUCAGGCCACUCACACUGGGCAGACAGGAGUCCUGGGUUGGAGAGCUCGCACAGCUUCUGUACAUACGCCGCUGGAUCAAAGUUGGCGUCAUUAAAGAGGAGAUCCAGGAACCUGUCUACGUAGACCGUCAUCUUUUUGAAUUGAUCAAAUUCAGAUUUUAAAUGAAUAACUAUUAAAUCAUGAUUAGCCUCAAUGACACAAGCUACAUCAACUGUAAGACAACAACCCACACAAUGGAAUGGCAAAAUAUGAUUUUCAGGGGUAAAUUAAAAAUACUAUACACAGCGCAUCUCUUUUGAAAAACAUUCCUUUGUGGCAACUGCAGUUCUCAGACUCAAUGUAGGGGUAUUGAAGAACUAAAACCAUAGUGACUAUCAGGUGUGUUACAGAAAAAUGAUUCAGACCCCUUGACUUUUUUCACAUUUUGUUACUUGACAGCCUUAAAUUAUGAUUUUUUCCUCGUCAAUCUACUGUACACAUAAUAUUCCAGAUUGACAAAGCAAUUAUUAUUUAUUUAUUUGGGCUAGUUUAUUAAAAAAACAAAAACAGAAGUACCUUUUUUCAUAAUUAUUCGGACCCUUUGCCUUUGCUAUAAGAAUCGAAAUUCAGCUCAGGUGCAUCCUGUUUCUACUGAUCAUCCUUGAGAUGUUUCUACAACUUGUUUGGAGUCCACCUGUGGUAAAUUCAAUUGAUUGGACAUGAUUUGCAAGGGCACACACCUGUCUAUAAUAGGUCCCACAGUUGACAGUGCAGAGCAUAAACCAAGCCAUGAGGUCGAAGGAAUUGUCUGUAGAGCAGGAUUGUGUCAAACCAUAGAUCUGAGGAAGGGUACCAAAAAUGUUUUGCAGCAUUGAUGGUCCACAAGAACACAGUGGCCUCCAUUAUUCUUAAAUGGAAGAAGUUUAGAACCACCAAACGCUGUACGCCCGGCCAAUCUUAGCAAUUGGGGGAGAAGGGCCUUGGUCAGGGAGGUGACCAAGAACCUGAUGGUCAUUCUGAGAGAGCUCCAGAGUUCCUCUGUGGAGAUGGGAAAACUUUCCAGAAGGACAACCAUCUCUGCAGCACUCCACCAAUCAGGCAUUUAUGGUAGAGUGGCCAGAUGGAAGCCACUUCUCAGUAAAAGGCACAUGACAGCCCACUUGGAGCCAAAAGUCACCUAAAGGACUCUCGGGCCAUGGAAACAAGAUUCUCUAGUCUGAUGAAACCAAGAUUGAAUCUUAGUUCUGAAUGCCAAGCAUCACGUCUGGAGGAAACCUGGCACCAUCCCUACGGUGAAGCAUGGUGGUGGCAGCAUCAUGCUGUGGGGAUGUUUUUCAAUGCCAGGGACGGGGAGACUAGUCAGGGUCGAGGGAAAGAUGACCGGAGCAAAUUACAGUGAGAUCCUUGACGAAAACCUGCUCCAGAGCGCUCAGGACCUCAGUCUGGGGCAAAUGUUCACCUUCCAACAGGACAACGACCCAAAGCACACAGCCAAGAUAAUGCAGGAGUGACUUCGGGACAAGUCUCUACAUGUCCUUGAGUGGCCCAGCCAGAGCCUGGACUUGAACCCAAUCGAACAUCUCUGGAGAGACCUGGAAAUAGCUGUGCAGUGACACUCCCCAUCCAACCUGACAGAGCUUGAUAGGAUCUGCAGAGAAGAAUGGGAGAAACUCCCCAAAUACACAAGUGUGCCAAGCUUGUAGCGUCGUACCCAAGAAAGCUCAAUGCUGUAAUCGUUGCCAAAGGUGCUUCAACAAAGUACUGAGUAAAAGGUCUGAAUACUUAUGUAAAUGUGAUAUUUCAGUUUCUUAUUUUGAAUAAAUU